rnacentral:rRNA from 1 species
UGCAUGUCUCAGAAUAAGUCAUUUUACGGCGAAUCUGCGAAUGGCUCAUUAAAACAGUUAUAGUUUACAUGGUGGUCAAUGGUUAGAUGGAUAACUGUGGUAAUUCUAGAGCUAAUACAUGCGUAAAAACUGGACUUUCGGGAACAGUUGUAUUCAUUAGAUACAGAACCAUCCCCUUCGGGGUUUUGGAUGACUCAUAAUAAAUGAACGGAGCGUAUGGUUUGAACCGACGCUGUACCAUUCAAGUUUCUGACCUAUCAGCUUUCGAUGGUAGGGUAUUGGCCUACCAUGGCAUUGACGGGUAACGGAGAAUUAGGGUUCGAUUCCGGAGAGGGAGCCCGAGAAACGGCUACCACAUCUAAGGAAGGCAGCAGGCACGCAAAUUACCCAAUCCUGACACAGGGAGGUAGUGACAAGAAAUAACAGUGCUAGACUCUUUGAGUUUAUGCAUCUGGAAUGAUUAGCAUGUAAAUAUCGCUUAGACUAUCAAUUGGAGGGCAAGUCUGGUGCCAGCAGCCGCGGUAAUUCCAGCUCCAAUAGCGUACAUUAAAGUUGUUGCGGUUAAAAAGCUCGUAGUUGGAUUUCUGUUAGGGAUGGCCAGUCCGGUCUACGACUGUGUAUUUGGUUCAGCCUUGGCAUCCUCGUAAUCUUGCCGUCGUUAAUUCGGCGGUUGGGCUACGACUUUUACUUUGAGGAAAUUAGAGUGUUCACGGCAGGCGAUCGCCCUGAAUAUAUUAGCAUGGAAUAAUAACAUAGGACUUCGGUACUAUUUUGUUGGUUUCUAGCACUGGAGUAAUGAUUAAUAGGGAUAAUUGGGGGCAUUUGUAUCAUGGCGUCAGAGGUGGAAUUCUUGGAUUGCCAUGCGACAAACUACUGCGAAAGCAUUUGCCAAGGAUGUUUUCAUUGAUCAAGAAC